UUUUUUUUUUUGUUUUUUUGUUUUUUUUUUUUUAGCGCAUGCUCUGAUCAUCAAUAAGUCAAACUCCAAUGGGAAAGAUACAAGAAAUGAAUAAACUCUCUCAACUCACUGAUGAAUACAUGAACCCCAACCCAUGAGACAACCUCUCAAACUAAAAUCUCCGAAUCAAUGCCAAAUGAUGGGAUGAAUGGAGUGAUAUGACUGCCCUCUUUGCACUAAGAUGUGAAGAAUCAUCAGCCCAAGGAAAAGAAGAGAUAAAAUGAAGCAAAUAAUGAUAAAAGCAAGAAAGAGAAUGGAAAUGUGAUGAUAGCAAAAUAGAACAAACGGGGUGAUAAGGAGAUGAUGACAAGAAUGAGAAGAU
rnacentral:lncRNA from 1 species